rnacentral:rRNA from 1 species
CACGUAGGGCGCAAGCGUUGUCCGGAAUUAUUGGGCGUAAAGAGCUCGUAGGCGGUCUGUUGCGUCCGCUGUGAAAACUCGGGGCUUAACCCCGAGCCUGCAGUGGAUACGGGCAGACUAGAGGUAGGUAGGGGAGAAUGGAAUUCCCGGUGUAGCGGUGAAAUGCGCAGAUAUCGGGAGGAACACCAGUGGCGAAGGCGGCUUUCUGGGCAUUUCCUGACGCUGAGACGCGAAAGCGUGGGGAGCGAACCGG